GAUGAACGCUGGCGGCGUGCCUAAUACAUGCAAGUCGAGCGAACGGACGAGAAGCUUGCUUCUCUGAUGUUAGCGGCGGACGGGUGAGUAACACGUGGAUAACCUACCUAUAAGACUGGGAUAACUUCGGGAAACCGGAGCCAAUACCGGAUAAUAUUUUGAACCGCAUGGUUCAAAAGUGAAAGACGGUCUUGCUGUCACUUAUAGAUGGAUCCGCGCUGCAUUAGCUAGUUGGUAAGGUAACGGCUUACCAAGGCAACGAUGCAUAGCCGACCUGAGAGGGUGAUAGGCCACACGGGAACUGAGACACCGUCCAGACUCCUAAGGGAGGGCGCAGUAGGGAAUCUUCCGCAAUGGGCGAAAGCAUGACGGAGCAACGCCGCGUGAGUGAUGAAGGUCUUGGGAUCGUAAAACUCUGUUAUUAGGGAAGAACAUAUGUGUAAGUAACUGUGCACAUCUUGACGGUACCUAAUCAGAAAGCCACGGCUAACUACGUG
rnacentral:rRNA from 1 species